CAGGGUGUGGAUUGUGGAUACACAAACAAAGAACUAUCGGGCAGCUGGUCAGGUGACUGACAUGAGAAACGGAAGUUACCAGAUUUCUGUUCGAUGUUUGUGGCCAGGUUUAGUAAAGGUGUACGUGGCUGUUGCCUACCCACGGGAAUACCUGAGGGUCACAAUGCUGCAGACACGUGCGGGUAACUCACGCUUCCUGGCAGGGAAAUUUAUUAACAAUGGAGUAGAGGAGGUGACUGUAUGCUGGGGCCAGCCAGACGUACCAGGUAGACCGUGUCUCUGUAACCUCACAUCCACCAACAGACAUCCUUUUUACUGUGGCCGUCCUCUGGACAAAAGG